rnacentral:rRNA from 1 species
CAGCUUGAUCCAGUUAGAGUUAAACAGAGCCGGCCAACCCGGUGCCAGCCGCCGCGGCUAUACCGUCGGGCCCAAGUUGACAAGUAUCGGCGUUAAGCGUGUUUAAAGUGCCCCUACAAAUUAGAGUUAAACUUCAACCAAGUUGUGACACACUUGUUAUUAAGAAACCCAAAAACGAAAGUUACUCUAACCAAACCACUUGAAUCCACGACAGCUAGGACACAAACUGGGAUUAGGUACCCCACUAUGCCUAGCCGUAAAACAUUUAUUCACAUUCUUAGCCGCCAGGGAAUUACGAGCCCAAGCUUAAAACCCAAAGGACUUGACGGUGUCCCACCCACCUAGAGGAGCCUGUUCUAUAAUCGAUUCUCCCCGAUAAACCUCACCACUUCUAGCCUACUCAGCCUGUAUACCUCCGUCGUAAGCUUACCAUAUGAACGUUUGAAUUAGUGAGCCAAAAGAUUUAAUCAUCAAUACGUCAGGUCAAGGUGCAGCUCACGAAGCGGGAAGCAAUGGGCUACAGUUUCUAACUUAGAACAAACGAAAGACUACAUGAAACACAGUCAUGAAGGCGGAUUUAGUAGUAAAAAGAAAAUAGAGAG